rnacentral:rRNA from 1 species
CAGAGUUGAUUAUGGCUCAGAUUGAACGCUGGCGGGAUGCUUUACAUGCAAGUCCGAACGGCAGCACGGACUUCGGUCUGGUGGCAGUGGCGAACGGGUGAGUAAUGUAUCGAACGUGCCUAGUAGCGGGAUAACUACGCAGCGUAGCUAGUACCGCAUACGCCCUUCGGAGAAAGCAGGGGAGCCUUCGGGCCUCGCACUAUUAGAGCAGCCGAUAUCGGAUUAGCUAGUUGGUGGAGUAACAGCUCACCAAGGCGACGAUCCGUAGCUGGUUUGAGAGGACGACCAGCCACACUGGGACUGAGACACGGCCCAGACUCCUACGGGAGGCAGCAGUGGGGGAAUUUUUGGACAAUGGGGGAAACCAGUCCAGCCAUCCCGCGUGCGAUGAAGGCCUUCGGGUUGUAAAGCAUGGCGGGAAAGAAACGGCACGGGAUAAUACCCCGUGCAACUGACGUACCACCAGAAUAAGCACCGGCUAACUACGUGCCAGCAGCCGCGGUAAUACGUAGGGUGCAAGCGUUAAUCGGAAUUACUGGGCGUAAAGCGUGCCAGGCGGUUCGGAAAGAAGAUGUGAAAUCCCAGAGCUUAACUUUGGAACUGCAUUUUUAACUACCGAGCUAGAGUGUCAGAGGAGGUGGAAUUCCCGCGUGUAGCAGUGAAAUGCGUAGAUAUGCGGAGAACACCGAUGGCGAAGGCAGCCUCACUGGGAUAACACUGACGCUCAUGCAGCGUGGGGAGCAAACGGAUUGAAUGCCCUGGUGAUCACGCCCUAAACAGUGUCAACUAGCUGUUGGGGCCUUCGGGCCUUGGUAGCUUAGCUAACAUGGCGAGGAUUGACCGCCUGGGAAGCCUACGGUCGCAAGAUUAAAACUCAAAGGAAUUGACGGGGACCCGCACAAGAAGCGGUGGAUGAUGGAUUAAUUCGAUGCAACGCGAAAAACCUUACCUACCCUUGACAUGUCUGGAAUCCCGAAGAGAUUUGGGGAGUGCUCGCAAGAGAACCGGAACACGGAGUGCUGCAUGGCUGUCGUCAGCUCGUGUCGUGAGAUGUUGGGUUAAGUCCCGCAACGAGCGCAACCCUUGUCAUUAGUUGCUACGAAAGGGCUCUAAUGAGACUGCCGGUGACAAACCGGAGGAAAGGUGGGGAUGACGUCAAGUCCUCAUGGCCCUUAUGGGUAGGGCUUCACACGUCAUACAAUGGUCGGGCAGAGGGUCGCCAACCCGCGAGGGGAGCCAAUCCCAGAAACCCGAUCGUAGUCCGGAUCACCCAGUCUGCAACUCGACUGCGUGAGUCGGAAUCGCUAGUAAUCGCGGAUCAUGUCGCGGUGGGCCCGUUCCCGGGUCUUGUACACACCGCCCGUCACACCGCCCGAAAUUGGGUUUUACCAGAAGUAGUUAGCCUAACCGUAAGGAGGGCAGUUACGGUAAGUUCAUGACUGGGGUGAAGUCGUAACAGGUAG